UACAAUAUAUGGUAGCAACAAUAACAUGUCAUUAUAUCCAAAUACUUCUGAUUAGGCUUUCUUUGAAGUGUAACCUGAAGGAUUUUUCAAGUAAUUAUCUCAUCAGCGGAUGUAUCCAUGAAUUGAUAAAGACAUGCACAUAUGCUUUUUUUGUAUGUAUUUUACACAAGAAAAAAUAGAGCAUUUACAAAUGGAAGAAAAAAUAUAAUAAAUAUGCAUUAACUUUCAACCAUACAAAGAUCCAUAUGAAUUUUUAAAACUGUGCAGCAAUUAGCUAAGUCUCCAAGAGAUAAUUACAGGCAUUCAUGAAAAGGUAUUGGAUUUUCCAUAAACGUCCGGGAGGUUAGCAAACAGAAGAAGCUCUUUCAGUUACUUGUUCUUCAGAUGCAAUCUCUCCUUGACACUGAUGAUGAGAUGGUUGAGAGGAUCUCACCAGCAGAAUGAGCAUCUACCAAUUUUGUACGUAGACUGUGAUCCAAACAUCGUCGAAGCUCCUGUCUACCAUGAGGACAGAGGUUUUUUCUCGAGUUGGAUGCCAUUGAAUGCACCAAAAUUCCCUUUGGCAACAAAGUGGUAUGUCUCAGGUUUUCUGAGCCGACACAAAAGGAAAAGAUUUCAAAAACUAUGGGACACAAAGUCGGAAGAAUAACAAAGGGGAAUUAUGCAUUUCAAUUCAAUAUGUUAUAUGACAAUUUGUUGCAGAUAACUUUGAAACAUAGCUGUCUCAUUGGUUAUAAUUAUUAUGCCAUCCAGCUGCAUUUUUCAAAGUAAAAUAAAUUUCAUGAUUCAAUCAGCGAUAUAACAAAGCUUUUAAUACAACUUUAGACAACUCAGUAGAAUUUUGAAUUAAGAGGUCAUGAUAUGUCCAUAUCAUUAUUGGCAAAAGUGUAUCCCCUAAAAAUAUCAAGAUUGGAUUAGAAGCAAUUAAAGGCAAGAAUUAAAGCUCUGCUAUAUGAUUUCUAUCAAACCAUUUUGUGUUUUUUUAUUGCUUCAGAAGACUAUCUGUUGGAAACUGGUUUUAAUUGUAAGAAUUCGAACUGAAACUCGAUUUGUGUCAGUUUACCUAAUCACCCAAAUGCAUUGCUUCCUUAUGUAUUUAAAACUACAGCCUAAGGCACAACCAUGGCACAAACUGGCUUAUUACUUACAGUAAAAAAUUUAAUGAAGACUCUCUUGGAUAAAAAAAAAAGGUUUGUAAUUUUUUAAGUAAUUUCAGAUAGGACACACAUUGACACAUAUAGAACACAGUCCAUAGAUAUUCUAAUGAUUAAAAGGUGGGAAGAAAAACACAUACAAAAAUAAGGGAAGAUAUUGACAACGAGUUUGUGAAAUUAGCAUCUGAUUUUGUUGAAAUUAAAAAAAAAAAAAAAUUGACAAAAUUAUCACAAUUCUAUCAAAUUAACCGUGAAUCAAAACAGAAUAGGUCGGUUAAUCCAAACAUGCACACAGAGAGUAAUUUACCUGAAGAGAAGAGAAAGAAGAUUAAUUGCAUCACCAUCACACUCCAAUAAAUAAAUCUUAACAAAAUCACCACAAUCCCAAACUCCCAUCACACCAUUCCAAACGCAGAAUCCCUCUUGACCUGGGAAAAUAAAUUGAACUCAGAAAAUAAGAAUAUAAAAUUUAAGAAAAUAAAUUUAUUAAAAAAAGAAAAAAUUAAGAAAAUAUUUGUUCGUACCUUCCGAACCAAAAAGAUUUGACCAAAAGUGGGACCCAUAACAUCUCAUUCCUGUUCAAUGAGGUCAAUUGUCACCAUAGGGAUGUGACAAAUUGUAUGCCAACGCUCUCCUCCCUCCUUUUCAUACUUCUCCUUUAUUAUUCCACAUUCUUCAAUCCGCAAAGUAUAAAGGGAGUUGGGUAGAUCCUCCUUCUCUGGCAAGCUCUCAAGACUAGGACAGUUCCAAAUAUAUAGGGAUUUGAGAGAUUUGAGGUGGAGAAAACCCUUUUUGUUCAUUAUUCUUAGCUUUGAACAAUUUCUCAAAUUAAGAUCAGUAAGACUUGGUGGCAGCAGAUUCUCCUCUGGGAAGGACUCCACAUUUUCAAACUCAUCACUAACAGAGAAUUCUAACAAGGAACUGAGUUGGAACAAACCCCACUCCUCUCUCGAACCAAUCAGUUUUGGGCAAUUGUAUAUUUUAAGGUUCCUCAAGUUGGAAGGCAAACCACCCAUUGGAAACGAUUCCAGCUCUGGACAAUCGUACAGAUACAGAUAAUGAAGUUUGGUGAACAAGUGUAGUGAAAAAGGCAAGGAGGAGGAGUGCCAUCCUUUUAUUGAAAGUGUAGAAAGGGAAUUAUAGCAACGUAAAUCCAAAGAAGGACAUUCCACAAAGCCAGUAAAAUCCAACACCAACUCUUCGAGAAAGGGAAAAUUGAUUACAUUUUGGUGCAAGGAGAACUCGGUGUACUGAUUAUAACAAAGGAAUAAACUUUUCAAGCUGGUCGGCAAUUCAUUUACCAAAAUUCUAUCACAUCUCUGUAUAUCUAACUCUAUCAUAUUAUCACACUUGGGAAUUGAUGCCUCCAUCUUGUUGCAAUAACCAAUCUUCAGUUUUUGUAAAGAAGGAAGGUGUUGAGGCAGCAAGGCCCUUAAGAAAAACAUUUAAGAGGAAUGUAACAGUUUACAUUGGUUUCCCUACCAAUGUUAACAUGGCAUGUUACCCAUAAGUAUGUUAGAACAGCAAACUGGUUCAAAAAUCAAAAAAUUAAAGAAACAGUAAACGCAAAUAAUGAACACACGAUGUUUGGUAACGAAGUUCAGCCAAUAUUGCCUACGUCUCCGACUGCAGAGCAGCUGCAGUUCCUUUUUAUUAUGAGAGAAAGAGUAAUGUUUACAAUGCACAACUUGUGUAUAAACACUAUUGUCCAGAUUACAACAUCAACCCUGAACCGUACCCCCAGUCGCCAUCAUGCAACAAACUAUGAUACCAUUGUUCCUUAUGCUCAUUUCCCAGUCUUUACCCUCUUUGAACUUUGAAUUUUUUUCUUUAUCAUCAUCUACUCAUCUUUCCUCCAAUUCUUAUCACUUUGAGAACUAAGGCAGGUGUAAAAUUUGUUCUUUUUUCAUCAGUCUUCAAUUCAGCGAGAGAUUUGAAAUUGAAACCAUAUUGUCGACAACUUGAAGCAAAAAUGGCAUCUUUCCAUAAGCAUCACAGUAUCCGUAUGCUUCAUCCAAAGCUACAAUAUAUGGUAGCAACAAUAACAUGUCAUUAUAUCCAAAUACUUCUGAUUAGGCUUUCUUUAAAGUGUAACCUGAAGGAUUUUUCAAGUAAUUAUCUCAUCAGCGGAUGUAUCCAUGAAUUGAUAAAAACAUGCACAUAAGCUUUUGUAUGUAUUUUACACAAUAAAAAAUAGAGAAUUUAUAAAUGGAAAAAAAUAAAAUAAAGAUGCAUUAAGUUUCAACCAUACAAAGAUCCAUAUCAAUUUUUAAAAACUGUGCAGCAAUUAGCUAAGUCUCCAAGAGAUUAAUGAUUGAAACUUACCUCAUGAUAAUUACAGGCAUUCAUGAAGAGGUAUUGGAUUUUCCAUAAACGUCCGGGAGGUUAGCAAACAGAAGAAGCUCUUGCAGUUACUUUGUUCUUGAGAUGCAAUCUCUCCUUGACACUGAUGAUGAAAUGGUUGAGAGGGUCUCACCAGCAGAAUCAGCAUCUACCAAUUUUGUACGUAGACUGUGAUCCAAAC
rnacentral:lncRNA from 1 species